UGUAUCUGUUUCAGAUUCAGGUCUGUCUUCAGGUGCUGUAGCAGGAAUAGUUAUUGUUGUUCUGCUGGCUGCUGCUGCUGCUGUAGCUGCUGGUGUGUUUUACUAUCGCCGCAGCAGUACCACAGAAUGACAAUGAUCCAAAUGUCAUUCCUUUGAGGGAAAUGGAGGGCUCUUAAAUCAGACUCAGCUCGAGGCUGCCCAUAAAACAAUAGCCAGAAUAUCACAACUACAGCAACUAUCAACAGAGAUCCAGCAGAGAUCAGAGAUAUCAGAGAGACUGAGACUGGAGGAACUGAAGGAGAGUAAAAGAGAGACAUUGAUAAGUUAAUGAGUCUGAUCUACAACAUAUAAGAUCAGCUCAGUAAAUAAACACAUGUCAGCGCUGCUAUACCUGAACAUGGUUGACAGAGUUGACUGAUGUCCAGAUGUGUGGUCUGGUUGCUGAUGGGAUUGUUGAGCACACAGCUGUAGGUGUUGUUAUCCUGAUAUUCCACCUCCAGAGGUAGACAAAACAGUAUUUUGAAAACAUCUCACAGUUAGGGUAUAAAAGUGGCAACGUCUGCCAGAUGUGCAUGGACUUGUAAAAACUGUAGUUCAUGAUACGUAGUAUCAUUCUCAGUGUUUUGCAUUGUGCCUGUUCUUUCUCUUGUUUAU